rnacentral:lncRNA from 1 species
CAGGUAAAAGCAAAAUCCAAGCUUGAACUUUUUUCUGCAAUGAACCCUUUACCUCAAUUUCUUUAACAUUAUCAAAAGUACGACCAACGAAGAAUUUUUUUGUUUGGUUACAGAGUAUGCUUAUACAACGAAAGUGAACGAGAAGAUUGAUAUCUAUAGCUUCGGAGUGGUACUAUUGGAGCUAGUGACAGGAAGACAACCAAAUUUUGGGGAAGAGCAUAUGAGCCUAGCAGAAUGGGCAUGGAAGCAGCACGGAGAAGGGAACAAUGCCAUCAAUAAUAUGUUAGAUUCAGAGAUCAAGGAAGCAUGUUACUUGGAAGAAAUGAAAACUGUGGGGAAGAGCAUAUGAGCCUUGCAGAAUGGGCAUGGAAGCAGCACGGAGAAGGGAACAAUGCCAUCAAUAAUAUGUUAGAUUCAGAGAUCAAGGAAGCAUGUUACUUGGAAGAAAUGAAAACUGUUUUCAGACUCGGGCUUAUAUGCACAAGCAACAUACCUUCAAGUAGGCCUACCAUGAAAGAGGUUCUUCAGAUACUUCAUCGAUGCAAGAACUUUAGGAAUUCCGGAGGAAAAUCACCAGAUAAAGAGUAUGAUGUUGCACCCCUCCUUGGCAACAACACCGAAAAGUACAUUGCAAGUUACAAGCGUAUUAAUUCCAAUAAGGUAAUAGAUGAUAGUGAUGAUGGUCUAAUAAUCUCCACUGUGUAAUAUCAGAGAUACUCUGAAAGAGGAAAAUGCCAGUGUAAUCUGAGUCUUUGUAAAAUGACUAUAGGAUAUUGGUCUAUAGAAUAGUGCCACUAAGUACUAGUUGGAGCAUGUUGUAAGCUAAGGAUAGAUAACGCUAUAAUAACGUUUUUUCUUAGUGUAUUUUUGGAUUUUAACAGCCCUAUUGGCCCUUAGGAGCAUCAAUUAUUUCACUGCUUGUAGGUCAAAUGAAAUGCAUCAUAUAACUUUUGCUAGCUAUGGAGAUGGAGAUAAUCAGAAAGAGGAAAAUUGCAAGUACUCGAAAGUGUCAAUAUAACCCGAGUAAACUGACUCUAAGACUAUGUCUAGACUAUAGUGCCACUGAGUAACAUUAAUUUUUGAGCAUGUUGUUCCUUUUGAACCAGAUCAAAUCAAUUUCAACAUUGAAGUGGUACGUUAUAACUUACACUUUUAUAGUGCUAUACGCGAGCAAAUCCUAAGAGACAUUAUGAUAUGGACAGAAGCUCUCGAAGAUAUACUCAUCAUUGGACAGAAGUAAAAAACGGAAGAGGAAAAGCAAAUCCUAUUUGACUAAAAACAAGAACAUCUUUCCUGGAUAUAUCAAAUAAAAUGCAUCCGCAUUUGCAGAAGCUUCUGCAGCGUGCUGCAUUUGACAUUGCCCCUCGAUUGGCCAUCAUCAAUCUCUUUAUUUCGAGUUGCAUGGUAUAAUCGUCGUCUAGUCCUAUACCCAUGAACAUACAGCCUAGCAGGCCUUCCCUCUAACCAGAGCUUCGGAUGUUGGACUGUUUACCCAGUCAGAUAUUUGGACCUAGUCAUUUUUGCCGGAGGAGCCAACAGCUUAUGGCCUUAACUUGCCAUCUGACCUCUUUUAAGCAUCAAAAUUCUCAAAAAAUUUCAUUCAGGAUAUGUCUAGUGGGACGAUCCGUCGCCUUUAUGUUUAGACCUUUUGGAUGAGAGGAGGGCACGGACUCUCAUUUUACCAGAUUCUUUUAUCUGGAUCAAGAGGGAAGUCUGGAAUAGCAUAAUGUCUCUAUUCGCAUAGGAAUAUAGACUGCUAAGACAACUUACCCCAAGAAGAUGUCACGACUCUGUAAAGAGAGACUUCUCAUCGCCUGUUACAGGCACAUAAUAUGAGACUAUGAGUUGAGGAAGAGUAACUACAAAUAUACCCCAGAUUUUUUACUAUAAAUCUUGUCAGGUAAUAAAAUUUUUAAACAAAGGAGUACCACCUACAAAGACUAAGGUAUCCUACAUCACAACAUAAGGAAAUAAGUCUCUUCCAGGCCCUCGAAAUAAAAAAAUAAAAAAAAAGUAGCCACUAUCCUGUUUUACACUUUCUUUCUUUCUUGUUUCUGAACAAAUGCAGCAGACUAGACCCACAUUGUAUACAAAGGUCUCUUCUCGAAGCUGGCUCUUGACUGCAGCAAUAAGCAGGACACUGGUCUAGCUUUAACUGAAGACCCACUGCAGGCACGGCUUUCUUUUCUUUUUUCCUCUUUUUUCUCUUUUUUUGGUUUUUUUGAGGGGAGGGGGGUUAGAAAGGCACACAUUCUCAACUUCAUCCAACUUCAAAGUGGGCCUGAAGACAAAUCCACACGCCAUAAUCAACAACCUCUUCUCACAUUAAAAUGUGAGCUUGAACUAAUCCAAACACUUCACUAACCAUCUUCCGAGCAAGCAUUUUCAAAAACGCAUUAGCUCCAAAACAUGCCAAUCUUUGGAACGCCUACCCAAAUUCAAGCUGUUGAUUCCAGACUCAACCUACUAGAAAGAAACCACGCCAGGAACAAAGCAAGAAAGCAUAAAGAUAACAUAGCCUAUCAAAUCAUAAAACACGGGGCCACAGAAACACAUGCCUUAUUGCAGGCUCCUGCACAGCCUCUGAGCUUGCCCCAUCCUGCGAUUCCAUUGCCCUUGCAAGAGAAUGGUUUGGCUAGAAAACAGAAAAAGACAAACAAUGAGUAAGUUCUCCAUCCUGAAAAUAUACCAAAUAUAAAGCCAGAUGCAGAGCAGCUAUACGUGUUUCAUAGCUAAUUAGGGAAGUAGGAAGCUAGCAGAACACACCAGCAUGUAUUGGUCAGAGACACGUGUGUAAAACCAUCAAAUUUAAUUAAUGAUUUUUCAAAAAAAUGGAAAAUAAAAAGCAUUGCUUUUCGAGGAGCCGAGUAUAGUCCAAUCGUAAAUCCAAGAUCAUGACAUUCCCCAGCUCUUGUAUUUUCAAGAUCGGGAUAGUCUCGACAUGCUCACAAUCAAAGAACCCAACUUCAUGAAUUUUCCACUACACAGCUGAUGAUAUGACCAGCUCUUCAAUAGUCCUAAUAACCCUAACAAAAAGAAAAUGAGACUGAACACUGGAAAAUAGGCAUGUGAACAGUAAUAACAGAAACUCGUAUAUGCAGUAUAGUUUUGAUGAAAAAUUGGUAAAAAGUAGACCAGAAACUUCUGCACUCCACCUGUGACUUCUCGGCCAAGCCAUUACCCAAGACGCCAUUCCCAAUUAAACAUCCAUCCCCUAGUUGUGAAAUCCGGUCAGCCAAGCUUAUAUCACCCUGAAAGGACUCUUAGCUCUCACUAUCUUCAACACUUCCAUAAAUCACUGCCAUCAGCUACAAUUCAAGAGCCGAAACACACAAACAGAGAUACUCACCUCGCGAGUGAGGUUCUGAAUGUUGGAAUUUGAUACAGGCACUCUUUCACCUCUUUCUGUGCAACCAGUCUGAACACCUGGUUCAUUGAACUGCCCAGCAUUAUCCUGAUGAAGUGAUCCCAAAGUUUCCCCCUUCUCAUCAUUCUGCAACACCUGAAAAGUUUGGACAUUUCUAGUGCAAAUGUCUUGGAACGAACGAAGCAUCUCCUGGCUUGGGAAGGAUUUUGUGUUAGAACUAUCUAAAUCAACUUCUCUCGGAAGUCCGGAUAAAGUGGAAUUCCUUGAAAUUGUAUAAUUUAAACUAUCAGGUGCACAAACGGAACUGUCACUCAGAGAGGCAUCGUUUCUGCUGCACCUAUGUAAUGAAUUAUCAUCAGAAGUGUCCAGCAGGCAAGAACUCUCGAGCUCCUUCUGUGACUCGUCAGAAAUGAUCAUCUGUGAUGAUCCAUCAGACCUACUAGAACCACCUAGAGGAGAAACAGACUCUAUCCUUUGCGGACUGAUAGAAGCACGUUUCCCAAGUUUCCCCCAAUUUACACCAACUGUUUCAGCUUCCUGCUUCCUCUUCGGAUGCCUUUCUUCAGGAGACAUGCAGCCUCUAACAACUUUCUCAGGAGUGCUGUGACUUGUAUUCCUCGAUUGACGUGGUCUCUUAUACCCAUCUGGAAAGACAAAUGGAGGAAUUUGCUUCCUCCAAACAUGAGAUACAUAGAUAUCCAUGCCUGGUCUCCAAUAUGUGUACAUGCUUACACCUUGCUUAAACUCAUCAACUGUGCCACGAAUAUCAAACUGCUGUCCUUCUUGCACUUUUACACCAUGUUUCCUCUGCAAGCCCAUAAAAAAAGCACAAUGUGGACAUGGCUUAGACAAGUCUACAAAUUCAUUUGGAUACGGAUGGCACUGCAACAUCCCGUUUGUGUCACGCUCGAUCUGAAAUGCAUCAACGGAUAAGCAUGAGUUCCAGCGGUAGAAUCACGACACCUGAAUUAAAGGAUUUCUCUCCAGAAUUCUUUAUUUUUGCCCUUUAGCACUUACAAUUCUCAUCGACAUAAUUAGACCAAAGAAAACAAAAUAUCACUAUACCCACAACUGAAUUCGAUUUUGACUUCCCAAAGUUCUUUCUUUUCCCUUUAAUGCUUACAACUCUAACCUUUAGUGUUAGCUGUCUAAGUCGGGAUUCCACCCAGCCUCUCCAAGCUAGCAAAUCAUCAUUAUCUGCCGCUACAAUGUCAACCUGCAGAUAGUUUUUGUACACCUCAAAGAAAAGAUAAUGCUCAAAAAGCGCGGCCCACUGUGCUUUAUUCAACUCUAUGCGCUCGAUCUGAAAUGCAUCAAAGGAUAAGCAUGAGUUCCAGCGCUAGAAUCGCGACAACUGAAUUAAAAGUUUUCUCUCCAGAAUUCUUUCUUUUUCCCGUUAGCGCUUACAAUUCUCAUCGACAUAAUUAAACCAAAGAAAACAAAAUAUCAUCAUCCCAACAACUGAAUUCGAUUUUAACCUCCCAAAGUUCUUUAUUUUCCCUUUAAUACUUACAACUCUCACCUUUAGUGUUAGUUGUCUAAGCCGGGAUUCCACCCACCCUCUCCAAGCUAGCAAAUCAUCAGUAUCUGCCGCUACAAUGUCAACCUGCAGAUAGUUUUUGUACACCUCAAAGAAAAGAUAAUGCUCAAAAAGCGCGGCCCACUGUGCUUUAUUCAACUCUAUCUCCUGGAUGAAAGAACCAAGUAAAAACAGCAAGACUACCAAUCAAAAUGAGUCAGUAAAGUGAAAAUAGAAGAAAACACUAAAUUGUAAGUCAUACCUCACAAAUCUUGUUACCAAACUGAAAUUGGUCCAUCAUUACUCGAAGAGUACUUGGCGAGACAUUAUAGCUGGAGUUCAUGCAAGGGUAAGCAGGAGUUAUAAUUGGCAUAUGAUGAGUUCGGUCUUUUGGAUUCUUGCGAGGAUCCCAUACAAGAAAACCAAGUUCAUCCUCUUCAAUUGGGCAUAGCAUCACUGGAUUUGGCCAACGCCAUUGUGUAUAAACUCUGAAGAACCUAGAAACAAGCAUACUGGGGAUGGCAUUAGGAUAAAACUGGCAAAUGCGAGCAACCAAAAGAGCCCAAUUGACACCACCGAGAAAUCCGGUAACCUGAAUAAAAGGGUGCACAAGGAGAAAGCAGAAAUUCAUGCUCACUAACUGACCAGCUUAUGAAUACUAUAGACAAACCAGUGACGGGGUUGAAGGAAUAAGAACUCACAUUGGAAUAAACACCACGCCUUUUCAUGCUCACUAACUGUUCAGCUUAUGAAUACUAUAGACAAACCAGUGACGGGGUUGAAGGAAUAAGAACUCACAUUGGAAUAAACACCACGCCUUUUUGCCCAAAACUUGAGACAUCUAAGAGUCGUUCGGAAGUGCUACAAAAUGUCGGAAAAAAACGGAAAUUCAAUGGUAAUUUAAAGACACCAUAACACGAGGAAAAAGUAGGAUUACCUCAGCAUUAGGUACUAGUUUCAAUAUUUGAUCAGCAACCCGACACCCAUUGAGACUUCGAACAGUUGGCUCAUCCACACUGUGGAGUACAGAUUGAUCCGAGAUAUCUAAAUCCUGUUAACAUACGAAUUACAACUCCGAGUUAAAUGCAAUUCACAGCACAUUAAACUCUCAAGUAAAAAUAUUCAACUACUACAUGAAUACCUCUAAGGUACGGAAGGACAUGAAAUAAGGGAGACAAAGUACACAUUUAAACAAGACAGUAAUGACGAAGCUGCUAUACAUCCACAUUGAUUAACUGAAACUAUAAGGACUAAUUCUCCAUGAAUUAGCUACGACAUUAAAGACCUUUAAAUUCUAAAGCUUUUCAACACAACGAAAAUCUACUAAAUAAAGGAUAUAAUCCAACAGAAGAAUGUUCCAACUUACUUCAGGGACCACUAAGAGAGAUAUACUUGCAUAAAGGAGAUCAAUAGAUAUUCCUUGAAAUUUGAAUUUCAUAACUGGGACAUGAGCAUCAGGAACUGGUUGAAGUUCACUAACUUCUUCCUUUUCAGCCAAAAUAUCAUGCAGAAUGAUAAAGAAAUCUUCCUGCAGAGAAAACAAAAGUAGAACAACUAUCAUGAAUGGUUAUGAUGAAUCAUCAAGCGGAGCAAAGUUUUGACCAGUACAUGGGACUCACAUCACGGUUGACAUAAGAGGGACCAACACACAAUGUGUCUAUGUCAGCUCCAGGCCCAUGAACCUGAAACAAUUUUUUUAUCAGCUAUAAAGCAUACGAUGUUGUGACCAUCAACAAUGAAACAGUGACUGACAGGCCAUUCAGGUGAUAAAAACAAUAAAUAUAUAACUUUGACAUACUAUCAGAAUAACAUACAUAAUGUGAUUGCAUUUUCUUCAGAUACAUGAAUCUAUUUCUAGUCCAAUAACUACUUAACAAGAUGCCAAACAUCUGAUUUCAAAUGCCCAUGUUGAAAAACCUGGAACUGAAACCAAAGAGAGAUGUACUAGCUGCAAAUUUAGCACCUAGUACCUAGAUAUGUUCAUUUUUAUUUCCAGUCACCCUAUUAUCCCAACCCUUAAGAACCCUUGGCUUUAAAGCGGGUUACUUUCAUAUAGUUUAUGAACAAUGCAUCAAUAAGCAAAUAUUUAAGUUAAUUCACAAAAAGCAAAAUACUGAAAAAAUCAAGUGCUGAAACAUUACUUACUCCUAGCCGAUAAGAACCAAAAGUGAAUAUGACAGCAUUCGCAUCCUCCACCAUUUGAUCAGUGUAGCCUCUCUGGUGAGUCAAUUGUUUCACCCAUGAUUUUACAAUCUACAGAACAAUAGUAACAAGUCAUUACAGCUUCUUCGCAAUCAAAUUACAUCCGACCAAUAGAAACAUCAAGCACUUUAAUUACGACCUAAUAUGAUCCAUGUGUACAGUGUACUAGCACCGACUCUCCAGUUUGAUUAUCCCAUUUCAUGGUCAAAUUUACUAAUAUUCAAAGUGAAAUUCAAACCACUUGGCUCAUUUCCUCUUUACAACUGAAAAUCAGAAAUCACAUAAAAAUACUAAAACAAGCAUACUUUUUCCAUCAAAAGAUGCUUGAGAGUCUUUAACCACAGAUAAGAAAUUUUUCACAAGUCAACUUAUUCGAACAAGGGGAAUAGAUAAUACUCAAGCCGAUUGUCACCUCAUAUCAUGCCAAAAGCACAAUCAGAAACAGCCUCAAGCCAAAGUUGUUUUGAAGAUUAAGUUAAUUAAUCAUCCUCCACCAAAAUGAGGCAAAAAAAUUUAUGACAUAAAGGGACAGGUGCGGUAGGAUGAGUAAAUGAUUUAGCAAACUUAGAAGACUGUGAAUGUACAGCAAGUAUCUAGCUCAUGCAUAAGAAUUUUGUGCCUAAAAAAGCUUCAAGGAAUUAGCUGACUCAUCUGCAAGCCUAUCCAACACUAAACGAGUUAUAGGCUAAAUAUUGUGGGUGCACUCAAAUACAGUAAAUUCUAGGCUAGGUAUGGUAGUUUUACAAUUUAAAAAAAAAACCUAAAGAGAAAUAUUGAAUAACCAGAGCUUAGUUCAACUCAGCUAGAUUACACCCUAUCUAAAAUCACCCGAAUACCAAGCGCAAAUGCUUUUGACACUACCAUUAGUUUGCUUUUAUUGAUACGGUUUGAUUCCCACACCCAUAUCCUAUUUCGACACCAAUAGGACACUAGUCCAAUUUCAUUUAGCUUCUUCAUUUGGGUGGCUAAAAAGUUGUCUCUCUUUCAGAGAGGAAUACUAGAAUUCAGAUAACUAAAGUUCUUACUUUCUAUAUCUUAUUUUUCUCCUUUCUCAUUUCACAGUCAAAUUCAAAGAAGAGAAAGUUUUUGAUGGCUUUAUGUCCUACUGUCCGAAGCACGCGCUUCUUCGACGUUGCUUUGCUUCAUUCACACAAUGCGAAAACCCCUCACUUCACAUUGUUUAAUUGCUGCAAGCAUGACAAUCGCCUUUUUAAGGAAAAUAUGAAUUUCAAAAAGCACAACAACCAAUUUUAAUCAUUGUAUGAAAAAUUACACACAAUACUGCUUUAUAAUUACAAAUCAUACCUGACCAACUUGUAACCACCCUAUCUCAGCUAUUAAAGAUGAAACAUACAUAUUUUCUUCAAUUUUAGGUGACCAAAAUGUCCCCUCACGAAAUGGUUUACUUUUUUUCUUGGCUGGUUGAUGGGUAGUGGUGAGACUCAAACUCAAGGCCUUCGGUUGCUCUCAUAUCAUAUAAAAAUAGAAAAGAGCAUCUUACUCAUGAUUUGGCCAGCCUGGAUGGUUUCAAACAAAACAUCCAUAUAUACACACACACAAUGAUCGUCCAAUGAAGUUACCAAAAAAUGAUUGUCUAAUAAGGAAAAAAACUAAUGUAAAACACACAUUUACUAGAUUGAGUUGUCUGAACUGUCUCAUUUAAAAGCUUUUUUAAUCAAGCUCAUCUAAAAGCUCCUCAACAUGUAUUAAAGCCUCGAUAACCUUGGAACUGAGUUAAUAGCUUAUGCCUACUGGCAGAUGACCUUGUCUGCCUCGCCGGCUAUAAUUUUCUUUAUUUUCAUAACGUCACUACUUUAUUCUUCUAUGUGGAAUCUGGUAACUGUUCUAGCAGAGCUUUUAGCCAUCUCUUCUAAAAGCUCUUCUUUUUAAAUCAAGCUCAUCUAAAAGCUCCUCAACAUGCAUUGAAGCCCUAAUGCUUUUGAGAGCGAGUUUAAGCAGCUUAUGCCUACCAGCAAAUGGCCUUAUACGCCCUUCUGGCUAAAAUUUUCUUUACUUUCAUAGCUUCACUAUUCUUCUUUAUUUUUAUCUUGUAACCAUUCUAGCAGCACCACUCUUAUUCUCCAGGACCCAAAGCACCAUGCCAGUUUUCAAUGUCGCACAUACCUCUUUCAUUAGUCAUUCCAGUAGCAUGCACCUCUUUUCAGAGAU